GCCCGGCUGGCUCAGUCCGAAGAGCAUGCGACUCUUGAUCUCAGGGCAGUGAGUUCGAGCCCCACGUUGGGUG
rfam:Ailuropoda melanoleuca scaffold609_56, whole genome shotgun sequence.